CAGUAGCCGCGGUAAUACGGAGGGGGCUAGCGUUGUUCGGAAUUACUGGGCGUAAAGCGCACGUAGGCGGCUUUGUAAGUUAGAGGUGAAAGCCCGGAGCUCAACUCCGGAAUUGCCUUUAAGACUGCAGAGCUAGCAGGUGAGAGAGGUGAGUGGAAUUCCGAGUGUAGAGGUGAAAUUCGUAGAUAUUCGGAAGAACACCAGUGGCGAAGGCGGCUCACUGGCUCAUACUGGACGCUGAGGUGCGAAAGCGUGGGGAGCAAACAGGAUUAGAUACCCGCGUAGUCCCUGUCUCUUAUAC
rnacentral:rRNA from 1 species